CAUGGAGAUGUGGUGCAGGCUGAGCCCUGCCCGGGCUGCUCACCCCUUCUGCCCAGGAGGACCAGGGUUCUAGAACCCUCCCAGGGUGCUGUCUGCCUGAAGGUUGGGGCGACAAGCCUGCGGUCCUGCUGCUCUGCUGUGUGGCUCUGCCCCCUUUAAAUGUGAAAGCUCAGGGAGCAGGGCACCUGCUGGGACCCGAGGGGGCAGCAAGGAAGUACCUUUGGGGGCCAUUCUCUGUGCCCAGACGGCAGGCUCACUGGGCUGGGCUAAUGAGCCUGGAGGUCCUCAAGGUCAAAUGAAACAAAUGGGCAUCUGCUUGGAGGUGAGUCAUGCCUCUUGUUCUACCCCAGCAGGCUUCUGUGCCAGGGAGACCAGGAGUCCCCAAGGGGGGGGUAUUUGAAGGGCAUUUGGGUAGCUUGUUGGUCACAUAUUUGUCCUGUAUCUUUGGGCUUGUCCUGGUAUCCGCAGUCUCACCCUGAACUGAAGCUGGAUCAGCCUCUAGACCUCGGCUGCCUCCCACUUCUUGCCUGGGGAUUCUGCCUCUGAAGUUCCUUGGUAUCUAUGACCUUGUCCCUUGGAGGACUGCAUGGUUUUCUCAGCUUUUUUCCUUGGAUGCUGCUCAGUUUAGGAAGGCUGUUUGGUGUAGUGGUUAAAUCUACUGAAGCCCUGGGUUUGAAUCCCGGCCAUGCCACUUACUGGCUGGACAACUCGCUUAAUCUCUCUGUGUCUGUUUCUUGUAAAAUGGGCACAGUAACAAUACUGACCUUAGAGGGUUAUUGCCAAGAUGACAAAAUGCAUGUAAGAUGUUCAGGUGGUACUUGGCAUAAAGUAAGCUAUUAUUUUUUUGGUUACAUUCCGUUCCUGAUAUCGGGUUGGUCACUAUACCCCUGGGGAGAGCUGUCUCCCUUAAACGUAACUUGGAGUUUUGGCAUUCUGGGAAAUGGGAGCUGUCGUUGUUGGUGGGAGGAUUGCAGGCUGGCCCUGCUGAGCAGACCUGAGACACAGUGUCCUUCCAAAUUUGGUGGCCUUUCCUUGGUGGGGAGGAGACAAGCAGCUGGCCUCCAGACUCGGCACCUUGCUGUGCACCACCGCUGUGUGCCCUCAGUGGCAACGGCGGUGGUGGCGGCUGGCACUGGGCUAAGCGGCCACCUCCUGAACAUCACUCCCUUUCCUCCUCUCGACAACGUUAUGAAGUGUGGACAUCAGCUGGCAACUGAGGAUGCAGAGGGCUUAACUACCUGAUGCGAGGGCGCGCGUCUCAUCGGUGGCAGAGCUGGCACUGGACACGUGGGCCGCUGCUCUGAAGCACAAGGCCUGGCAAGUUGCCACUGACAGUCCUCCUUGUUGUCACACCACGAGAGGCUGGUCUCCCACCCCCAAAUCCUCAGAAUUACCCAGGCACUCAAAAUAUCUCCAUGCCUGGGCCCACCCCAGACCCACUAAAGCAGCCUGUCUGGGACGUGGGCACCAGUAUGUUGCAGGCUUUCCAGGUGAUUGCUGUGCCUUGCCACGUUUGAGAAGCCUUGCUCUUCUAGUCCACCCCUCACAGAUCACUUUCCUCCCCGUGUGGUCUUCACUGCCCUGUCCAGUCCCCUCCCUCCUGGUAGAUCAGGGGAGCCUUCCUCUCCAGGGGCUCUCACCUCUGUCCCAUACCCCUGACUGCUUCCCCAGGCUAGGACGCCCUGCCCACCAGGGGUCCCACACCCUCGUCCCCGGGUUGCACCCCUCUUCCUUCCCUUGAUGCCCGUUCCUCUCUCUGGGUCAGAUCCCUUCCACCCCCAUUACACCUCCCACCACCACAGUCUUUCCAGGUGCUGUAAUGGGCUCCUACUUGGAAGAAUAAAGGCCAGAUGCCCAUUAUGCAGAA